rnacentral:rRNA from 5 species
AAAUUGAAGAGUUUGAUCAUGGCUCAGAUUGAACGCUGGCGGCAGGCCUAACACAUGCAAGUCGAACGGUAGCACAGAGAGCUUGCUCUCGGGUGACGAGUGGCGGACGGGUGAGUAAUGUCUGGGAAACUGCCUGAUGGAGGGGGAUAACUACUGGAAACGGUGGCUAAUACCGCAUAACGUC